UACGUAGGAGGCAAGCGUUGUCCGGAAUCACUGGGCGUAAAGCGCGUGUAGGUGGAAGAGGAAGUCUGCUGUGAAAGCGCCUGGCUUAACCGGGCGAGGUCGGUGGAAACUCCUCAUCUAGAGGGCGGUAGAGGGGGGUGGAAUUCCGGGUGUAGUGGUGAAAUGCGUAGAGAUCCGGAGGAACACCUGUGGCGAAGGCGGCCCCCUGGGCCCGCACCUGACGCUGAGACGCGAAAGCGCGGGGAGCGAACGGG
rnacentral:rRNA from 1 species